AUCUAGUUUGACGACCAUUUUGUUCUGGAUAGGAGUUCCUGGUACCAGGUUGUUUAUGUUGUCGCUUGGAGUAUCCUGCCUGCUGGUCCCAUGUCACCUCAGAAGAUCUGUCUUCACUGUUGUCCAUUUGUAAUUUUGGUAUUUGUGUAUCUAGCUUGUGUUUCGAUUUUGUUUCCGGAGUGGUGUUUUGUGGUGUGGUGUAAGCCUAGCCGGCUAGCAUGUUAUAUAUUUUGGUUUUCUAU